AAUCACGUAAGUCGCUUUGUGUUCAAAAACAUGUCUUUUUUGUAUUAUAAUCUAAGAUUUGACCUGCCCACUGAUAAUAAAUUGAAGGGCCGCGGUAUUUUGACCGUGCAAAGGUAGCAUAAUCAUUAGUCCUUUAAUUGUGGACUGGAAUGAAUGGUUUGACGAGGUAUUUACUGUCUCAUUUUAAUAAUUUGAAUUUAACUUUUAAGUCAAAAGGCUUAAAUGAUUUUAUAGGACGAGAAGACCCUAUAGAGCUUAAUAAUUAUUUACUUUAAUAUAUUUUUGGGUAAUUAUUUUUAUUAUAGUUGUAACUAUUUUAUUGGGGUGAUAUAAAGAAUUAAAAAACUCUUUAUUUUUAUAAACAUUAAUUUAUGAUUAAUUGAUCCAUUAUUAAUGAUUAUAAGAUUAAGUUACCUUAGGGAUAACAGCGUUAUUUUUUUUGAGAGUUCUUAUCAACAGAAAAGAUUGCGACCUCGAUGUUGGAUUAAGGUAAAUAUUGGGUGUAGAAGUUCAAUAGAGAGGUCUGUUCGACCAUUAAAUCCUUACGUGAUCUGGUUUCCAAAA
rnacentral:rRNA from 1 species